AAGAAUUGAAACAGUUUUGUCUA
rnacentral:siRNA from 1 species